rnacentral:rRNA from 1 species
UUGAACGCUGGCGGUAUGCUUUACACAUGCAAGUCGAACGGCAGCACGGGGCAACCUGGUGGCGAGUGGCGAACGGGUGAGUAACAUAUCGGAACAUAUCCGGAAGUGGGGGAUACCGUAGCGAAAGUUACGCUAAUACCGCAUAUGCCCUGAGGGGGAAAGUGGGGGAUCGCAAGACCUCACGCUUUCGGAGUGGCCGAUAUCAGAUUAGCUAGUUGGUGGGGUAAAGGCCCACCAAGGCGACGAUCCGUAGCGGGUCUGAGAGGACGACCCGCCACACUGGAACUGAGACACGGUCCAGACUCCUACGGGAGGCAGCAGUGGGGAAUUUUGGACAAUGGGGGAAACCCUGAUCCAGCCAUUCCGCGUGAGUGAAGAAGGCCUUCGGGUUGUAAAGCUCUUUCAGCAGGAACGAAACGGUAGGCUUUAAUACAGUUUGCUAAUGACGGUACCUGCAGAAGAAGCACCGGCUAACUACGU